rnacentral:lncRNA from 1 species
ACAAAGCCAUGAGACACAGGUAGUACUGAAACCUUAAAGGUUACCAGAUACUCCCCAAGUGCCACAGAGCAGGAACAUUUUUGUGGGUAAAUGGAUAGGAAUCACUGUGUGGUGGUUAGAAAUGAGUUCUGGGAAGACCAUGUGUCAUGGAUAGCUGUGGGUGUCAUCAGGACAGAAGCUAAUGUCUUCAGAGAAUAAUGGUUCCCUGCCCCUGUCUCCAGUGUGCACUGCACACAGACGAUUGGGAUACCUCAAUCUCCUUUGCAUAUUCAGAUUAUAGACCCCCAUCUCUUAUUCACAGUGGCAUCUUCUGUUGUGACCACAGGCAAUGACUCUCAAAGCCAAUGGCAGCUUCCAUGCCUAGUUCGUGCUCUGAGACACCAAUGUGGCCACUACCUCUAGCUCUGCAUAAAACCCAGCUGGGAAGACACCCCUUUUAUCCAUUCAAACUCCCAGUAAGAUCCUGGCUGCCAGAGCCAAGAGUACAUUCACUUCUGACACAGUAGAGGCUUAUUUCUCCACCGUAUUCUUACUGUGACUACUAUUGUUUUUUACUUUUCAGUAUUUUCCAGUAUGCUUUAUGCCUUCCCAAAAUUUCAUUGAUUCCAGAUCCUAUACACACACACACACACACACACACAUGAGAGAGAGAGAGAGAUUCCUUCAACCACUUUGAGCUGUCUCCCUAUGUAUCCUCACACACUCACUUCUAUCUUGUUUGAUAGAACCUUAGUGCAGACUGUCAAAGGUUAUUUAACUUUUUGUUCAUUUUGAACCCAUAGUGAGUAUUCUACCAUCUUGGCCUAUCCAUUGGAAAAAGUCCUUAAUCUUUAUCAAGCAGAAUGUGGAGAAAUGAAGAGAAAAAAUUCAUCACAACACCUGGAAUAGAAUUAGUCA